ACAACUUUUUUGGAAACGAACACGUGGCUGCACGAAAAAUAGCACAAUAAAUGCAAUUACAAAAAUGUCAAAUGUGGUCCUCGUGUCAACUCUGGUCUCGAAUAUUUAUAAUCGCUCAAUAUUACACACUCCUGCCAUGCUCCUGCCAUGCUGUUUAGCAGAUUUGAGACCUGAGCCAGCCAUCAUAACAACAAGAUAUGCCAGUUUUGCUUCUGCUGCUAUUAACCUGCUGUCAUCAGCAACAAUCUCAGGAUCAUUGCUUGGAUAAUCAGCAUCCAGUUUGAUUGGGAAAACUCUGUCCUCGUGUAUGCCCAUGUGAGUGUGGGUGUAUUCACGAGGAUGACGCCCUUUUUCCGUCAUUCAACUUUUCUGCGGAUGGAGC